rnacentral:misc_RNA from 1 species
UUAAAGAGUCUAGCUCAACUAGAUAAGAGCAGUGGAAACUACAAAGCUAGAGUUUGGUCGGGGCAGAAGGAAUUCCUGGUGUAGCGGUGAAAUGCGUAGAUAUCAGGAAGAACACCGGUGGCGAAGGCGUUCUGCUAGGCCGAGACUGACACUGAGGGACGAAAGCUAGGGGAGCGAAUGGGAUUAGAUACCCCAGUAGUCCUAGCCGUAAACGAUGGAUACUAGGCGUAGCUCGUAUCGACCCGAGCUGUGCCGGAGCUAACGCGUUAAGUAUCCCGCCUGGGGAGUACGCAGGCAACUGUGAAACUCAAAGGAGUUGACGGGGGCCCGCACAAGCGGUGGAGUAUGUGGUUUAAUUCGAUGCAACGCGAAGAACCUUACCAAGGCUUGACAUGUCACGAAUCCUGUAGAAAUAUAGGAGUGCCUUCGGGAGCGUGAACACAGGUGGUGCAUGGCUGUCGUCAGCUCGUGUCGUGAGAUGUUGGGUUAAGUCCCGCAACGAGCGCAACCCUCGUUUUUAGUUGCCAGCAUUAGGUUGGGCACUCUAGAGAGACUGCCGGUGACAAACCGGAGGAAGGUGGGGAUGACGUCAAGUCAGCAUGCCCCUUACGUCUUGGGCUACACACGUACUACAAUGCUACGGACAAAGGGCAGCUACACAGCGAUGUGAUGCGAAUCUCAUAAACCGUAGCUCAGUUCAGAUCGAAGGCUGCAACUCGCCUUCGUGAAGGAGGAAUCGCUAGUAAUUGCAGGUCAGCAUACUGCAGUGAAUUCGUUCCCGGGCCUUGUACACACCGCCCGUCACACCAUGGAAGUUGGUCACGCCCGAAGUCGUUACCCCAACCGCAAGGGGGGGGAUGCCUAAGGUAGGACUGAUGACUGGGGUGAAGUCGUAACAAGGUAGCCGUACCGGAAGGUGUGGCUGGAUCACCUCCUUUUAGGGAGACCUAAUCCAUUUAGAAAUCGAGAACAAUGAAAAUUGUCAAUAGAAACUAAAGUGGUCUAACCUAGGUCGGUCGCAGACUUGAAGUAAAGCUUUCAAACUAUGAUUUGGUUCGAUAAGGGCUAUUAGCUCAGGUGGUUAGAGCGCACCCCUGAUAAGGGUGAGGUCCCUGGUUCGAGUCCAGGAUGGCCCACCUGAAGAAUUUUAGAUUGGUGAUUUGAGAUUUUAGAUUGAAAAAAAAUCAAUCCAAAAUCGUCAAUCCAAAAUCCAAAAUUUUGUAGGGGGGUUUAGCUCAGUUGGUAGAGCGCCUGCUUUGCAAGCAGGACGUCAGCGGUUCGAGUCCGCUAACCUCCACAUUGGAAAAAAGACAGCACCUAAUUGUUAAAGUUAGACUGCUGGAUGAAAUUCCAGCCAGAACCUUGAAAACUGCAUAAGAGAACAAGAAAAAGCAGGCAGACACAGA